GACGAACGCUGGCGGCGUGCCUAAUACAUGCAAGUUGAGCGAUGAAGAUUGGUGCUUGCACCAAUUUGAAGAGCAGCGAACGGGUGAGUAACGCGUGGGGAAUCUGCCUUUGAGCGGGGGACAACAUUUGGAAACGAAUGCUAAUACCGCAUAACAACUUUAAACAUAAGUUUUAAGUUUGAAAGAUGCAAUUGCAUCACUCAAAGAUGAUCCCGCGUUGUAUUAGCUAGUUGGUGAGGUAAAGGCUCACCAAGGCGAUGAUACAUAGCCGACCUGAGAGGGUGAUCGGCCACAUUGGGACUGAGACACGGCCCAAACGCCUGCGGGAGGCAGCAGUAGGGAAUCUUCGGCAAUGGACGAAAGUCUGACCGAGCAACGCCGCGUGAGUGAAGAAGGUUUUCGGAUCGUAAAACUCUGUUGGUAGAGAAGAACGUUGGUGAGAGUGGAAAGCUCAUCAAGUGACGGUAACUACCCAGAAAGGGACGGCUAACUACGUG
rnacentral:rRNA from 1 species